CCAGCCUGGUUUACAGCCUGGUUUCAGGUGAUCUGACAUCCCUUUCUGGCCUGCAAGGGGACCCACACACAAACACAGCAUGCAUUUGCAAAGACAUGUAGACAUAUAUAUAAAUAAAAAUAAACUGGGCUGGAGAGAUGGCUCAUCGGUAAAGAGCACUGACUGUUCUUCCAGAGGUCCUGAGUUCAAUUCCUAGCAACCACAUGGUGGCUCACAACCAUCUGUAGUAAGAUCCGAUACCCUCUUCUGGUGUGUCUGAAGACAGCAAUGUACUCACAUAAAAUAAAUUAAUAAAAAAAAAAAUCUUUG
rnacentral:lncRNA from 1 species